UUGCUAGGUAACAUAAUGGAAAUGUAUCGGACUGCAAAUCCUGGAAUGAUGGUUCGACCCCGUCCUUGGCCUCGAGGAG
rnacentral:tRNA from 1 species